rnacentral:lncRNA from 10 species
CAUUCCCAUGGGAUCCUCAGUCGCUACUAACCAAAGCUUCUCUAGUCAAAGCACUUUUCAGAGUGAUUGCACAUGUUUAUCAUUCUGUUUCAACAACAUACAUGUGAAGAAAGCAGGACACGGCCACUGAAUAAUGGAGCUGAAUUCAAAAUCCAUGGUGUUUUCACUUUCCUGUGCAUUUCUUCAGGAGAUACAGUUUACAAAAAGGUCCAAGGAUUCUCCAGGGAAGCUCUCUUCUGAGUAGUAACUCAAGAAUUGAGUCUGUUUCCAUCUUCAGUCUUCACAUUAUCAACAUAAUCACUCUGGCAGAAGAUGAAAGAGGGAAAGAAAACUCAUGCCUCAACUUUGAAAGAGCAUUCCUCCUUCUGUCUAAUUGGCCAGAAUUAAUCACAUGGUCCCAAAAUAACUGGAAGGGAGGAUGGGAAAGAAAGCCUUUCUAUCUGACUAGGACAACGAAAUGAGAUUCAGACAAUCAACAAAAAUCCUCAACAACAUUGUAGUUUGUCAAACCUAGUAACAUGAAAAAGGAUAAUACAUUAUUCCAAGCAGGGCUUAUCCAGGGAAUAAAAGACUAGUUCAACAUUUAAAAAUUAAUGUAAUUCGUCUUAUCAACCUAAUGAAGAAGGAAAAACAUGUGAGCAUCCACAUAGAUAUAGAAAAAAUACUUGACAGAGUUCAGCAUGUAUCCAUGAUAAAAACUCUUUAACAAUCUGGAAAUAGAAGAAUACUUCCUUAAGAAAAAAUGAGUCUACAAAAAAAGUUAUAGCUAACAUCAUACUGCAUGGUGGAAGACUGAAUUCUUUCUCCCUAAGAUUAAGAAGAUAAAGCUGUCCACUCUUACUACUCCCAUUAACAUCAUGUUGAAGGUCUUAGCCAGUGCAAUAAAAAAACUUAUAAAAUAAGCUGGGCAUGGUGGCUCACAUUUGUAAUCCCAGCACUUUGGGAGGCUGAGGCAGGCGGAUCACGAGGUCAGGAGAUCGAGACCAUCCUGGCUAACAUGGUGAAACCCUGUCUCUACUAAAAACACAAAAAAUUAGCUGGGCAUGGUGGUGGGCGCCUGUAGUCCCAGCUACUCAGGAGUCUGAGGCAGGAGAAUGGUGUGAACCCUGGAGGCGGAGCUUGCAGUGAGCAGAGAUUGCACCACUGCACUCCAGCCCGGGUCACAGAGCAAGACUCUGUCUCAAAACAAACAAACAAAC